rnacentral:lncRNA from 1 species
CUUCAUUGGGGUUUUAAGCGAUCUAAUCUGGAGUGCACACUUGUCACUCUCACACACACAUACAAAGCAUUUAAACUGAAAACAAGCCGUUGGGACUAAACCCUUUUUUUCUUCUUUCUUCUUCGAUGCAGCAGCAACUCAUCCAUUGGAGCUCCACUUGCUGUCGUCGAUCCUUGGAACUAGAAGCAGUUUAAGGUCCAACAGGAGUUGCUGCUCCAUUUGUUAGCCAUCACUCCAUCAGCACCUCUUCUCCAGCCCCCUGCUAAAUCUUCCCACCACCGUGAAUUUAAGGCCUGGCAGCCUCCAGAUCGUCAGACCCGCGUUUUCGGCAUGCCCUGUCUAGUAAUGGAAGUUCAACUUUUGACCCCAUUGUCUUAAAUUCCUGGCUCCGCC